AUGGAAGGGCUACUACACUGGGAUUUCUCCCCGGGUGUUGCUUUAGCCGAUCAGGUGAGGAGAAGGUUUGGUUCUACGGUGCAUUUCUCUCCCUCUCGAGGCGCCAAAGAAUUCUUUCUGGUGGUGUCCUUUUCGUCUGCCCCCUUUUCCCUCAAUGAAGAUUCUGUGGCUAUUACCUUGCAAUGUUGUCUUGGA
rnacentral:rRNA from 1 species